rnacentral:rRNA from 1 species
AACGAACGCUGGCGGCAUGCCUAACACAUGCAAGUCGAACGAGACCUUCGGGUCUAGUGGCGCACGGGUGCGUAACGCGUGGGAACCUGCCCUUAGGUUCGGAAUAACUCACCGAAAGGGGUGCUAAUAAAGGUGAAUGUCUUCGGACCAAAGAUUUAUGGCUUUUGGAUGGGCCCGCGUUGGUUUAGCUAGUUGGUAGGGUAAAAGCCUACCAAUGCGACGAUCCAUAGCUGGUCUGAGAGGAUGAUCAGCUACACUGGGACUGAGACACGGCCCAGACUCCUACGGGAGGCAGCAGUGGGGAAUAUUGGGCGAUGGGCGAAAGCCUGAUCCAGCAAUGCCGCGUGAGUGAUGAAGGCCUUAGGGUUGUAAAGCUCUUUUACCCGGGAUGAUAAUGACAGUACCGGGAGAAUAAGCUCCGGCUAACUCCGUG